rnacentral:rRNA from 1 species
GGGAAGGCCCAGACAGCCAGGAUGUUGGCUUAGAAGCAGCCAUCAUUUAAAGAAAGCGUAAUAGCUCACUGGUCGAGUCGGCCUGCGCGGAAGAUGUAACGGGGCUAAACCAUGCACCGAAGCUGCGGCAGCGACGCUGAUGCGUUGUUGGGUAGGGGAGCGUUCUGUAAGCUUGUGAAGGUGUGCUGUGAGGCAUGCUGGAGGUAUCAGAAGUGCGAAUGCUGACAUAAGUAACGAUAAAGCGGGUGAAAAGCCCGCUCGCCGGAAGACCAAGGGUUCCUGUCCAACGUUAAUCGGGGCAGGGUGAGUCGACCCCUAAGGCGAGGCCGAAAGGCGUAGUCGAUGGGAAACAGGUUAAUAUUCCUGUACUUGGUGUUACUGCGAAGGGGGGACGGAGAAGGCUAUGUUGGCCGGGCGACGGUUGUCCCGGUUUAAGCGUGUAGGCUGGUUUUCCAGGCAAAUCCGGAAAAUCAAGGCUGAGGCGUGAUGACGAGGCACUACGGUGCUGAAGCAACAAAUGCCCUGCUUCCAGGAAAAGCCUCUAAGCAUCAGGUAACAUCAAAUCGUACCCCAAACCGACACAGGUGGUCAGGUAGAGAAUACCAAGGCGCUUGAGAGAACUCGGGUGAAGGAACUAGGCAAAAUGGUGCCGUAACUUCGGGAGAAGGCACGCUGAUAUGUAGGUGAAGUCCCUCGCGGAUGGAGCUGAAAUCAGUCGAAGAUACCAGCUGGCUGCAACUGUUUAUUAAAAACACAGCACUGUGCAAACACGAAAGUGGACGUAUACGGUGUGACGCCUGCCCGGUGC